GACAGAGGGUGCAAACGUUGCUCGGAAUUACUGGGCGUAAAGCGCGUGUAGGCGGACCACCAAGUCGGACGUGAAAGCCCUGAGCUCAACUCAGGAACUGCAUCCGAACUGGCGGUCUGGAGUGGUGGAGAGGAAAGCAGAAUUCCUGGUGUAGAGGUGAAAUUCGUAGAUAUCAGGAGGAACACCGGUGGCGAAGGCGGUCUUCUGG
rnacentral:rRNA from 1 species